UCCUUAUCUUGUGUAUAUUCAGUUCAACAUCUGGUGGUUCUUCAGGUCACCUUAAUGUGCAUUUUCUGUUCAUCUUGCAGGUGAAGGAGCUCCCCUUGGGUUCAUCUUGCAGGUUUCAUUCAAACUUGGCCACCUAGGCCGUUCAACAGCAUCAGCAGAGCCCGUUUAGUUGGUGGCGUUCCUGCAGCUGCAGAUGUGGUGCUGACAGUACUAGGUGUUGGUUGUGUUUGAUCAAAUGCCUAGGAGCUCCCAUGAUUUACACAUGGAAUCCAGAUGAUUCUGUUUCUUCAUCCCCAAGUACUUCAAUGGUGGCUCCUUCCCGGUUGGCUCAAUUGCUGCUGGAUUUAGGUGGCCAAGUUUGAAUGAAAAUUACUCAUUGACCGUAUGUCUAAUCAGUUUUUCUUUAUUCACAGAAAAACUAAUAUGUGAGGAUUAUCUCAGGUUUCUUUUUGAACUUGUAG
rnacentral:lncRNA from 1 species